GGGGAUAUAGCUCAGUGGUAGAGUGCCUGCUUUGCAUGCAUGAGGCCCUGGGUUUGAUCCUCAGUACACCCC
rnacentral:tRNA from 1 species